rnacentral:tRNA from 2 species
UCCGGGGUAGCUCAAUCGGCGGAGCAGUGGCCUGUUAAGCCAACGGUUGUGGGUUCGAGUCCCACCCCCGGAG